AGGGCGUCAGCUUCUGGUACUUUCGACGCGUUUUCGGACGCUCGGCUCAGAUCGCGUCCGGACGUCGGAGGUGGAGGUGUAGGUUUUGCUUUUUGGGAGCGGCAGCGAAAGGCCUUUCUUCGUCUUAAGCUUCGAAAGGAAGGCGUCUGUCGGGCCUUUCUUUCCGUGUUGAGAGAGGCGUCGACGGCCUGCGAAACAAGUUUCCUGGAAGAGAUCCUCGGAGAAAAGGAAGCUCGGAAGCUGUCGGCCGAGAUGUCCAGUUACGUCAACGACCUGUGGCCGGGCUCGCCGCGCAAGGCGUCCCCCUCGUCGUCGCGGUCGGGCCCGUCCAGCCGCCUGUCCUCAGCGUCGGGGAGCCGCUCUCCCCAGAGCUCUCGAUCUCCGUCCCGGUCCAGCAUCUCGAGCCGCUCGUGGUCCAGGAGCCGCAGCCCGCCCCGGCGGAGGAGCAGGUCGAGGUCCCACUCCCGGAGGCGCUACCAGAGGAGGUACCGGCGCUAUUCCCGAUCCUACUCGCGGAGCCGCUCGCGGUCCCGCAGCCGCCGGUACCCGGAGAGGCGCUACGGCUCCCCCAGGAGGUCCUGCCGGUCCCGCAGCCGCUCCCGCAGCCGCUCCCGCUCCCGGGGCCGCUCCUAUUACCGGAGGGCCUACGCUAUCGCGCGCAGCCGCCGGUACUACGGCUUCGGCCGCACCUUCUACUCCGAGGAGCGCAGAAGCUGGAGGGGGCGAUCCCGGACCAGGUCGCGGAGCCCAUCCCCCUUUCGCCUAAGUGAAAAAGAUCGAAUGGAGCUGUUAGAAAUAGCAAAAGCCAAUGCAGCAAAAACAUUAGGAACUGCCAACUUUGACUUGCCAGCUAGUCUUAGAACUGUUUCUGUAUCUAAAGAAACAAACCGUGGUACGGCUGUACUGAAUAACCGGGCAAAGUCUGAGAAAUCAUGAAUGUGGUCUCCAGACAUUGAUGAAGAAAAUCUGUUGAUGUUUUGAGAGAUUACAGAAGAAGAGGCCUGCUUCACUUGCAGAUAAGUUUAUUACAAUUCUCCAGAAAUUCUGCAGUAUAAAAUUGAUAGCUUUAAACGUUUAAGGUAGUUAGGAAUUGAUAGGCAAACCCACAUCUGAGUCUGAAUGAGAGGAGAUAAUCCAUCUUUCCUAUCUUAACCGAGCCUAAGUAUUAGUGAUAGACAAAUAAGAUCUUAGUUGAGUUGCUUUUUCGGAUGAUCAGGUUCCCAACUAGACUGACAAAUGCCUUAGUUCUUUGAAACUAGGUAUUUUCUGGUACGACUACUUUCAAAGUUAUUGAAUUUGCAUCAGGAGAUACAAUACUGCUUUAUGGGGAAGAGUGUUUUAAGCCUAUCAUUCAAGCACCUUUGUUAUGGGGAAAACUCAACAGAGUACCAUGUUUAUUUUAGGCUGUUAAUUAUUUGGUUAGAUCUCUCCAACUAAAUUUAUAAUACAUUUUUGGGCUGCUUUUUAUACAGUACUGUAAACCAAGGGUAUAGCUUUUUAAAAUACAUAUUUUUUCUUACCUGUCUAGCUGUCGGAAAAGUUAACAGAAGAUGAAACUAAAAAUCCCAGUGGAAAGUCUUCCCAGCAAAAAAGCAUAGCUUUUAGCUCUAAUAAUUCUGUAGCAAAGCCAAUGCUUCAGAAGUCAGCUAAAGCUACUGCUGAAGAGACCUCUUCAGGG